UAGGUUAUGGUGCCUUUUGGGGUCUGUUCCCCUCUGUGGUCCAUUUGGUCCUGGCGGGGCGGCCCCCACAGAUGCAAGGUCCGUCAGCACAACCCACUGCCCCAGCGCCGAGCUGACCCGAGUGCGGCCGUUGCGCCAUGUCGGAGCCUCUGGGCCCAGCUGUGCCUGCAGACAGACCUCGCUCCCCUGCAAGUCAGCUGCACACUCUGCCCUCUGACUCGGGAUUUGGCAGACGGGAGCACUGAGUCCGAGGAAGCCUGGUGCCUCCGCUGUGCCCACGUGAGCGGAUAUAUACUUCGGAGUAUGUGGCACCACGUGCUGUCCUCCACCGGACAGCCCUCCUCCCAGAGGCCCUGGAAAGCUGGCUCUGAGGACAGGAGGGCACGCGAUGACAUGGCCGUGGCACUACUGAACAACGAACGAUGCUUGGUGUGAUGGGUCGGCUCACGACAGGUGACAGGGAGAUCCCAGCGUUUGGGAAGCAGAUGCGGGAUGAAGCAAGGGCCAUGGGGAGACCACGAGGAGCCCGAGGUGUCUGUGGAGGUGCUGGCGGCUCCGGUGAAGGUAAGCUGGGGUCUUGGGGAGAGCGCUGCCAUUGCAGUGGGG
rnacentral:lncRNA from 1 species